UCUUCCUCUCUGAUUGUGAUUGCAUGGCCCUGGAAGAGAGGAGGGAGACCGGGCUGUCCCUGGUGUUCGUCUGGACAGGCCCUCAAUCAGAGCCGCACCUGAUGCACAGUCAGACACAGACGGGCAGCCCUCCACAGCACAGCAAGCUGAAGGACAGUGACAGAUGAGUCUGUGUCUGCCACUUCCCCGAAUUACAUCACACACAAAGCCCCGCCUCUCCACACCUAAAGUUUCCCUCCACGGACUCCCCAGUCUGCCCUCUGCUGGUCAGAAGGAGUCAUGACAUAAACAAGACCGCUCCACACGGCACUCAGAAAGCAAGGCCAUCUUUGCUCACACCAACAGCCCUGGGUUUGUAGGAAUUCCCCUACAGGAGUAUGCUGAAAGACGGAUCAUCCCGGUGGAAUAACUGACAGAUACUCUCCAGACCCCGAGGGCUUUUUCACCUCUCACCCACCAGCACUCUGCAAACAACGGCUCCAACAUGGGCUGUUAGUGUAGGAUAAUGGCGCAGGACAGUCUGCCUGGGAAAGCGACGCUACGGGACACCGCCAUCACCACAGUGUGAAAGGGACCCGGCAGCAACCUGGCCAACCGCACAACCGCCAUUCUGGAGCCUCCAUUCAGGCUCCCGCUGAGGUGGUUUAUUACCGUCCUGGAGCCUCUGGCCGCACGGUUUCGACAGACUCGGUGAACCGCCUGCGUUUGGAUCGCGGUCGUGGUUCGCCAGAGGACACUAUCAUUCUCAGAAAGUCAAGCAAAAGUUUAUUUAUGGUCUCCUUGGUGCCGCAUCCAGCUAAGGCGUUGGCUUCCCAUGCAGUAACACGUCCUGCAUUCUGGAAGUGUACUCUGGCCAUGCCAGAGCCAUUAGUACAGGCUAGGAGUCCUGUGACAACUGUGUAACUGUGCACAAUGUUCCUUUCUCAAAGUCCCCUGCAUAUUGCAAACUGUAUUAUGA